CAACGCGAAUAUCAACAAACACAGCACAAACGAAAAACAGAAUGUGAGAUUUUGGUGAAAAAUAUAUGCAAGCAGAAUAUUUAGAAUAACAUUUUGAUAAAUUGUGGUGAGAGUGUUCUACAAGUGACGAAACGGUCGACAGUUUACGGAAUCGAGAAGCAAAAAACAGCAUUGCGGCAUUGCAAGGCGUUUGCCAACAAAACUAUCCAUUGAUUUCGAGAUAAUAAUGGGAAAGAUAAAGAUAGAGAAACCAGAUGCCGAAAUCGACACAACUAUCUUAAAAAUACGAAUGCAAUCGCUCAGCCCAUGGCGCCGAAGAAAUUAACCAAGAAUAUUCAUAAACUUAUCAAAACAAGUCUCAAAACACAAAUCUUAUUUACGUAAUGGAUUAAAGGAAGUUCAAGUCCGUCUGCGGAAUAAUGAAACAGAGAUGUUUAUUUUCGCUGCAGAAAAGUGGAAAUCAUGUGUCACUUGCCCACUGUUUGUGAGAAACGCAAUAUCCCAUAUUGCUCUACGCCGAGCCGGAAAGACUUGGGGGCAGCAAUGGGUGUGAAACACAGUCACAAUGCUAAUCCGAGAGCACCCCGAUUAUCAAGAGCAGUUCGAUAAACUAAAAAUGGAAUUUAACACUCUGCCAAUGCCGACAUAGAUGAUUUGCUGUAUGGCUGAUAUAUUGUCCAAAUUUUUAAGAACAUUAGAUUUUUCCGCAUUAUGAGAAAUAGGCUCAUCAUAAGACUAUAAAAUAUAAUUUAGUUAUAAGAGAUUUUAACUAAUAAAAAGAAAAAUUAG